UUCGUACUCCCUCCGUUCGGAAUUACUUGUCUCGAAAAUGGAUGUAUCUAGAACUAAAUUACGUCUAGAUAUAUCCAUUUCUGCGACAAGUAAUUCCGAACGGAGGGAGUAGUAC
rnacentral:pre_miRNA from 1 species